rnacentral:rRNA from 1 species
UACAGAGGUCUCAAGCGUUGUUCGGAUUCAUUGGGCGUAAAGGGCGCGUAGGCGAUUUGAAAAGUCUUGUGUGAAAGCCCCGAGCUUAACUCGGGAAGUGCACAAGAAACUGUUGAAUUUGAGUUCCGGAGAGGAAGGCAGAAUUCCCGGUGUAGCGGUGAAAUGCGUAGAUAUCGGGAGGAAUACCAGUGGCGAAGGCGGCCUUCUGGACGGAUACUGACGCUGAGGCGCGAAAGCCAGGGGAGCAAACGGG